rnacentral:rRNA from 1 species
UAGCGCAGCUAACGCGUGAAGUUGACCGCCUGGGGAGUACGGUCGCAAGAUUAAAACUCAAAGGCUCUGACGGGGACCCGCACAAGCGGUGGAUGAUGUGGAUUAAUUCGAUGCAACGCGAAAAACCUUACCUACCCUUGACAUGUCUGGAAUCCUGAAGAGAUUUAGGAGUGCUCGCAAGAGAACCGGAACACAGGUGCUGCAUGGCUGUCGUCAGCUCGUGUCGUGAGAUGUUGGGUUAAGUCCCGCAACGAGCGCAACCCUUGUCAUUAGUUGCUACGAAAGGGCACUCUAAUGAGACUGCCGGUGACAAACUGGUGGAAGGUGGGGAUGACGUCAAGUCCUCAUGGCCCUUAUGGGUAGGGCUUCACACGUCAUACAAUGGUCGGGACAGAGGGUCGCCAACCCGCGAGGGGGAGCCAAUCCCAGAAACCCGAUCGUAGUCCGGAUCGCAGUCUGCAACUCGACUGC